rnacentral:rRNA from 1 species
AAAAGGGGGGCAACUCCCUGAGUACAGCGGCGCACGGGUGAGUAACACGUGGGUAAUCUGCCCUGAAGUGGGGAAUAACACCGGGAAACCGGUGCUAAUACCGCAUACAAUCGCGAGGUCUGCGGAUUUUGCGAUAAAAGGAGCAAUUCGCUUUAGGAGGAGCCCGCGGCUGAUUAGCUAGUUGGUGAGGUAAUGGCUCACCAAGGCAACGAUCAGUAUCCGGUCUGAGAGGACGGUCGGACACACUGGAACUGAGACACGGUCCAGACUCCUACGGGAGGCAGCAGUGGGGAAUUUUUGGCAAUGGGGGCAACCCUGACCAAGCAACGCCGCGUGGGUGAUGAAGUCUCUUGGGACGUAAAACCCUUUCGACGGGGAAGAAAACCGCAAGGUUUGACGGUACCCGUAGAAGAAGCCCCGGCUAACUCCGUGCCAGCAGCCGCGGUAAUACGGGGGGGGCAAGCGUUGUUCGGAAUUACUGGGCGUAAAGGGCGCGUAGGCGGUCCGCUAAGUUAGAUGUGAAAACUCUGGGCUCAACCCAGAGCCUGCAUCUAAUACUGACGGGCUAGAGUUCUGGAGGGGGUAGCGGAAUUCCUGGUGUAGCGGUGAAAUGCGUAGAUAUCAGGAGGAACACCGGUGGCGAAGGCGGCUACCUGGACAGAAACUGACGCUGAGGCGCGAAAGCUAGGAGAGCAAACAGGAUUAGAUACCCUGGUAGUCCUAGCCCUAAACGAUGGAUACUUGGUGUGACUGGGAUUGAAUCCAGUC